rnacentral:rRNA from 1 species
UACAGAGGUCUCAAGCGUUGUUCGGAUUCAUUGGGCGUAAAGAGCGUGUAGGCGGCCCGGUAAGUCCGCUGUGAAAGUCGGGGGCUCAACCCUCGAAAGCCGGUGGAUACUGUCGGGCUAGAGUGCGGAAGAGGCGAGUGGAAUUCCUGGUGUAGCGGUGAAAUGCGCAGAUAUCAGGAGGAACACCGAUUGCGAAGGCAGCUCGCUGGGACGUAACUGACGCUGAGACGCGAAAGCGUGGGGAGCAAACAGG